rnacentral:rRNA from 1 species
GACGUAGGGGGCCAGCGUUGUUCGGAAUUACUGGGUGUAAAGGGUUCGUAGGCGGUGUGGCAAGUCGGGAGUGAAAUCUCUGGGCUCAACCCAGAGUCUGCUUCCGAAACUGCUGUGCUUGAGUGUGGGAGAGGCGCGUGGAAUUGCAGGUGUAGCGGUGAAAUGCGUAGAUAUCUGGAGGAACACCGGUGGCGAAGGCGGCAUCCUGGACCAACACUGACGCUGAGUGAGCGAAAGCCAGGGGAGCAAACGGG